rnacentral:rRNA from 1 species
UACGAAGGGGGCGAGCGUUGUUCGGAAUCACUGGGCGUAAAGCGUGCGUAGGCGGCGAUGAAAGUUAGAAGUGAAAGCCCAGGGCUCAACCUUGGAAUUGCUUUUAAAACUCCAUCGCUCGAAUCUCGGAGAGGAUAGCGGAAUUGUCAGUGUAGCAGUGAAAUGCGUAGAUAUUGACAGGAACACCAGUGGCGUAAGCGGCUAUCUGGACGAGUAUUGACGCUGAGGCACGAAAGCGUGGGGAUCAAACAGG